rnacentral:rRNA from 1 species
UUUUAAGUCUAAUCUGCUCAAUGAAUAAUAAAUUUUAAAUAGCUGCAGUAUAUAUAACUGUACUAAGGUAGCAUAAUCAAUAGUUUUUUAAUUGGAAACUAGAAUGAAGGAUUUAAUGGAAUAUAAACUGUUUCAAAUUUAAUUAUUAAAUUUUUUUUUUUAAUAAAAAAAUUAAAAUAUAUUUUAAAGACGAGAAGACCCUAAAGAAUUUUAUAAUUAUUAGAAUUAUUUAAAUAUUUAAAAUUUUUUUAUUUAUUUUAUUGGGGAAAUAUUAAAAUUUAUUAAAUUUUUAAUUAAGUUAAACAAUUAUUUUUGAAUACAAAUUAUUUAUUAAAAAUUUAAAUUAAAUUACCUUAGGGAUAACAGCAUAAUUUUUUUUUUAAGAUCAUAUUUAAAAAAAAGUUUAU